rnacentral:misc_RNA from 3 species
AACGCACAUUGCGCCCUUUGGCAUUCCGAAGGGCAUGCCUGUCCGAGCGUCAUUAUCCUCCCUCAAACCCCCGGGUUUGGUGUUGGACCGCGUUGGUUGUUCGCAGCCAACUGGUCUCAAAGACAAUGACGGCGUCCCCGGGACCCUCUUCGCACUGAGCUUUUGCAAGCACGCGAGGAGUCUCAAGGGCCCAGGGACCCGGUCACCUCAUUAAAUUUUUUCAGGUUGACCUCGGAUCAGGUAGGAAUACCCGCUGAACUUAA